GAGGGUAUAGCUCAAGUGGUAGGGUGCUUGCUCAGAACCCAUGAGGCCCCGGGUUCAAUCCCCAGUACCUUCU
rnacentral:tRNA from 1 species